rnacentral:rRNA from 1 species
GUCUAUAGCCAUACCACCCUGAAUGUGCCCAAUCUUGUCUGAUCUUGGAAGCUAAGCAGGGUCAGGCCUGGUUAGUACUUGGAUGGGAGACCACCUAGGAAUACCGGAUACUAUAAGCA